rnacentral:lncRNA from 1 species
CGAGACUAAGUUUUAGUUGAAUCACACAAAGUAAUUUAAUUUUUUUUAUUUUUAUGAAGCCCACAAAGAAAUGAAAUUUCUAUUCAAAGUUUCUAGGUAUUCCAAAUUUUAUUAAAAAGUAAAAAAUUAGGAAACUGUUUUUUGAAUUUCGUAAACAAUCCUAGAAGUUGUCGAAGAGUUUUGAUUUUCAAAACAUGUUCAAAACAGAAAGCCUAGCAACAGAAUACAUAACACAAUAAAAAAAUGCCCCGAUUUGGUUCAGCUAGAAAAGUAGAUUAAAAAUUAAGUUAAAAUUUACAAUUAAUUUUAAUCUACAUCUUUUAUAGGAGUCAUAACUCUUCAACCACAUUUUAUCAAAAUUUAUUAAAAUCUAUUAAAAAUCUAAUUUUGCCUAAACCAAUUCAAUUGGGGGCAACAUAUUUAACUUGCGUAGCAUGUUGAUCAAAAUCAUGAUCAUCAACAAAAGGAGAUAACAAGGACGUUAACAAAAGCAGACGUAUAUAUGGGUACUUGCACUAACCUUGGCCAGCCGAUCAAGACCAUUCGAACCAUGUGAAUUUUGCACAAGAUUUUCAGGUUGCAAAACCGUCGUUGGAGCCGGAGGCAGAGUUGGCUGUGGAGGUGGCGCCGCUAGCGGAGGCUGUGGCAAUUCUUGCGGCUGAGAUGAUUCUAAAAACAUCAACGUCGGGCCAUGACAAGUUUGAGGUGAUGAUAGAAGAGGAGGAGGAGGAGGAG